CACAGUGUGGGAACGGAACUGUACGGUGUUUUAAUAUUUUGGUCAUUCGGGAGACUGUCAAGCGGUGCUCCGACAUUCGAAAAACAACAAGUUGAGGAAUGUAAGUUUUGAUUAACGCAAACGUUACAAUAUUAAGUUUCUGUUUAAAGAUUUGGUAACGAAAACAUUCUACACAUAUAUAUAGACCAAUCAAAUGAUGUAAGCGACAUAUACAGCCAGACGUUUUCUAUUAAACGGUUGAGCUCCGAGUAAAUCGCUCAAAAUUCUUCAUCAACAGCGAAUAAAAUUUUAAAAAAAAAUCAAAAGGAUAUUCAUAGCUACAC
rnacentral:lncRNA from 1 species